CCUACGGGGGGCAGCAGUAGGGAAUCUUCCGCAAUGGACGAAAGUCUGACGGAGCAACGCCGCGUGAGCGAAGAAGGUCUUCGGGUCGUAAAGCUCUGUUGUUAGGGAAGAACAAGUACCGGAGUAACUGCCGGUACCGUGACGGUACCUAACCAGAAAGCCACGGCUAACUACGUGCCAGCAGGCGCGGUAAUACGUAGGGUGCAAGCGUUGUCCGGCAUUAUUGGGGGAAAAGCGCACGCAGGCGGUUCCUUAAGUCUGGUGGGAAAGCCCACGGAGCAACCGUGGAGGGUCUGUGGAAGCUGGAGAACUUGAGUGAAGAAGAGGAGAGGGGAAUUCCACGGGUGGCGGUGAAAGGCGUAGAGAUGUGAGGGAACACCAGUGGCGAAGGCGGCUCUCUGGUCUGUAACUGACGCUGAGGCGCGAAAGCGUGGGGAGCGAGCAAGAUUAGGUGCCCUAGUAGUC
rnacentral:rRNA from 1 species